rnacentral:lncRNA from 1 species
AGAGAUAGGCCCCUGUGACCUCAGGCCCCUCUCGGGCGGUCUGCAACAGGCGAGUGUCCACAGCACCUGCAGAAGAUCUCGGGGCCCUGGGUGGACCUCAGAGAGGCCUCCCAUUCGACUCCAGCUCUGGCUGCUCUCCUGGCCAGGACACCGCCUGUUCCCAGAACACCGCCUGCCCCAGAGGCCGUUCACCCUGGCCGGUCAGGCUGGGCCAGAGGGCAGGGGCCCAGCCCAGAAGCCAGGGGUGAAGAAAGAAAGCUGCCAGCUGGACGGCCCCACCGGGCCCCUCGGGCUGCAGGAGGCGGAUGCUGUGGGUGCUCAGAGAUGCGGGUCUGAAGCCUGGGUGGCUCUUCUUUGCUGAACUGCCUGCCUGGAUGCCAGCGCCCACCGCGUCCCCCCAGCCUCCAAGUCAGUCUCAGCCGCCAACAGUGACCAGACCUCCACAUGCGGGAAGCCAGGCCACUGCCCAGCGCCACGCCACUCCCGCCAGAUGCAACAGGAUGCCUUUCGCAGCAAAGUCAGAGUGCGCGCCUGGACCCCACCCAGACCCCCGCACCUGCUGAGGAAUGAGGGCUUGGGCAGCGCUGCUCUGGAGGAGCCGCCCACAGAGCGCAUCCCACCACUGUUCAUAAAGGCCUUUUACGGCCCCGAAGGCCCGCGUGCGGGCCUGGCCCUUGGGGUGCUUCCCUUUGGGGGAGCCGCUGCAGAAGCCGCCCCGGGGGGGACCCUCCAGGCAGCACUGGAUGAGUGAUGUCCUGCUUGCCCAGAGGAUCGGCCCAGAUGCCUGGAGAUCUCCUGGGACAACCUUGCAAUAACUCACGGGCUGCUAACGAAGCAGGCUUGACCCGUCUGUCUCUGUGUGCGAGCAUCCGUCAGCAAAAAACCUGGAUCUGAGUGGCAUCAAGCUGACCACCUAGAGUCCUGAUCUCAUCCCAGUUCUGCAGGAGAACGUUGCAGGGAUUCUCUAGAAACUGCACUUGGAGCCAUGUGGCAUCAAGGACCCCCACCAGGAGGCCAUCCUGCCUGCCCUGAGCCGCUGCUCCCAGCUCAGGUCCACCAGCCUAGGUGGGAACCUCCUCUCCACGGUCGUGAUGGAGAAGCUGCUGAGUCACACAGCUGGGCUGCCCCGCUGAAAGGAUGAGUUUUAUCCCGGCCCCCGGCAGAGUCAGAGCUCUAGAGGACCUCGGCCUGGGGAUACUUGCCCAGCUGCAGGAGGAGCUGAUCGAGCUGAUGAGGGGCUUUGGAGGUCCAGGGCCAUCUGGCUUUGCUCCAGCCCGCGUCCUCGCUGGGGCAGUAAGACGUUCUAUCACGAGGAGUCGUUCUAUAUGAUUGCCGUCCACCUGUGUCGUUGGGUGUAUCGGUCCAAAGCACUUCUGGGCACUUGGGUUCUGAAAUCCAGGUCGGGCACCAUGUCAAGGGAACACAGACCCAUGAUAAAUGGCGGGGACCCUGGCAUGAGUGUUUCUCAUGGUUCCCCUGGUGCUCCCAUUAGUCUCAGCUUCCGGGCAUCGUGUGUCCCGGGAGAGGGUCUUGACAAGGUCCCCAGUUCUGGAAGGUGUCGUCCACUUGGCCAAAGAGUGUUACCCUCUCAUCUUCACCAACCUGUGCCUGUCAUGAGUGGGUGGUUGUCCUAUGUGAGUCAAUCUACUUGUGGCCAGGAGAGAGACCCCCCCCCAAAAAAAAUACUCAAAUAGUGUAGUCAGGGAGUUCCUGCUGUGGCUCAGCGGUUAAUGAACCUGACUAGUAUCCAUGAGGACUCAGAUUCGACGCCUGGCCUCCCUCAGUGCAUUCAGGAUCCAGUGUUGCCAUGAGCUGUAGGUCACAGAUGCAGCUCGGAUCUGGCGUGGCUGUGGCUGUGGUGCAGGCCGGCAGCUGCAGCUCCAAUUCGACCCCUAGCCUGGGAACCUCCAUAUGCCACGGGUGCGGCCCUAAAGCCACAAAAGACAAAAGAAAAAAAAAAA